rnacentral:rRNA from 1 species
AUCUUCCGUAGGUGAACCUGCGGAAGGAUCAUUACCGAGUUGAUUCGGGCUCCGGCCCGAUCCUCCCACCCUUUGUGUACCUACCUCUGUUGCUUUGGCGGGCCGCGGUCCUCCGCGGCCGCCCCCCCUCCCCGGGGGGGUGGCCAGCGCCCGCCAGAGGACCAUCAAACUCCAGUCAGUAAACGAUGCAGUCUGAAAAACAUUUAAUAAACUAAAACUUUCAACAACGGAUCUCUUGGUUCUGGCAUCGAUGAAGAACGCAGCGAAAUGCGAUAAGUAAUGUGAAUUGCAGAAUUCAGUGAAUCAUCGAAUCUUUGAACGCACAUUGCGCCCUUUGGUAUUCCGAAGGGCAUGCCUGUUCGAGCGUCAUUACAACCCUCAAGCUCUGCUUGGUAUUGGGCACCGUCCUUUGCGGGCGCGCCUCAAAGACCUCGGCGGUGGCGUCUUGCCUCAAGCGUAGUAGAACAUACAUCUCGCUUCGGAGCGCAGGGCGUCGCCCGCCGGACGAACCUUCUGAACAAUCUCAAGGGGACCUCGG